UGAAAGCAGAGGACGGAACGGGCAGCCGUCGCCCAUUGUUAGGAGAUGUGGGAAUUGUCACCCCACCUAUUUCA
rnacentral:ncRNA from 1 species